rnacentral:rRNA from 1 species
CCUACGUGGUGCAGCAGUGAGGAAUAUUGGUCAAUGGGCGCGAGCCUGAACCAGCCAAGUAGCGUGAAGGAUGACUGCCCUACGGGUUGUAAACUUCUUUUAUAAAGGAAUAAAGUGAGGCACGUGUGCCUUUUUGUAUGUACUUUAUGAAUAAGGAUCGGCUAACUCCGUGCCAGCAGCCGCGGUAAUACGGAGGAUCCGAGCGUUAUCCGGAUUUAUUGGGUUUAAAGGGAGCGUAGAUGGGUUGUUAAGUCAGUUGUGAAAGUUUGCGGCUCAACCGUAAAAUUGCAAUUGAUACUGGCAGUCUUGAGUACAGUUGAGGUAGGCGGAAUUCGUGGUGUAGCGGUGAAAUGCUUAGAUAUCACGAAGAACUCUGAUUGCGAAGGCAGCUUACUAAACUGCCACUGACAUUGAUGCUCGAAAGUGUGGGUAUCAAACAGGAUUAGAUACCCUGGUAGUC